rfam:Paxillus involutus ATCC 200175 unplaced genomic scaffold PAXINscaffold_24, whole genome shotgun sequence.
UUACCACUCUGGCCUUUUGGCUUAGAUCAAGUGUAGUAUCUGUUCUUAAUAGUUUAACCACUAUUAUGAGGGCACCGCCCUCAUUCUUUGGUUAUCAAAUUUUUGCCGCCCUUGAUCCCUGCGAGCUCUGCUUGCAACUCCAGGGACGUGAUGACCUUGCCACUGCAGUGCCGGCUCGUGUCGUCGGGGGAUC